rnacentral:rRNA from 1 species
UACGGAGGGUGCGAGCGUUGUCCGGAAUCACUGGGCGUAAAGGGCGCGUAGGCGGCCUGGUAAGUAGGAGGUGAAAUCCUGCGGCUUAACCGCAGGGCUGCCUUCUAAACUGUCAGGCUCGAGCACAGUAGAGGCAGGUGGAAUUCCCGGUGUAGCGGUGGAAUGCGUAGAGAUCGGGAAGAACAUCAGUGGCGAAGGCGGCCUGCUGGGCUGUUGCUGACGCUGAGGCGCGAAAGCUAGGGGAGCAAACGGG